GUCUUCUUCAAGCGCGAGUGGAAACGCAACUGGCCGUUCCUUAUCGGCUUUGCCGUCACCGGCACUCUCAUUACCAAAUUCACCCUCAGCCUCACCGACGAGGAUGCCAAGAACUCCCCCUUCGUGCAGAGGCACAAGAGGUGAACUUCCAUGUGCCUGAUUUUGUUGCCCGUCAACAUUCUCUUCUCAUCUUGAGGUUUGGAUGAUUGUUCUUAUGUUCUGAAGAAAGAUUGAGAUGGAAACGAUAUACUCAAAUUGCUUCUUUUCCUUUCCUGGUUUUUUAGUUGAAUAAAAAGAUUGUUGGGUGUUUGAACUAGAUCCCCAGCUUUUGAA